GCAGCGCAAGGUGGUCGGGAUCGAAAUGCAGAGUGGGUCUGAGGUAGGCUUCAGAGAGGACCGUGUAGGAUGCCUAGAAGGUUGAUGUCAGCUGUCAGGCUCGUAGAGUGUAUAGGAAUGGUUAGUAGAGAGUUUUAGUUGAGUUCGAGAGGGCAGCAGGCAGGUCUAGGAACCAGCCCUGGUGCCAUAGAUAGAGCGAGUGUUCAGAGGUUUCAGGCUAGUGUCAGGUUGGCCAUCAAUCAGGGAGGUAGAGUUUGGUUCAGAAGUGGUGCUUGGUACCCAUAACCAUUUCUCUCUUUCCUUACGGGAUGGUACCUGCAGAGAGUAAGAGUAUAGCAGAGAAGAGUAAGAGUAGAAUAGAAAGCAGAAGAGAAGAGUAAGAUCAGUAAAGGAAGAAGAAGAGAAGGAUCAGAGUAGCGCAGCAGAAGCUUGUGGCGUUCAAGCCCAAGUUUGUGUUUCUUGUUUGUUUGUGUUUUUGUUUGAACAUUCGGGGACGAAUGUUCUGUAAGGGGGGAAGAAUGUAAGACCCCGCUCGUUCAGACAUCGGAAUUCCUACCGUCCGGUGGAAUCUCGGGUGU
rnacentral:lncRNA from 1 species